AGGUAACCGCUCACCAUACCAAUGAUGUCGAGGGGUUUUGAGAGGAACGCCCCCCACUCUGAUACUAAUACCCCCCCCACACUCCUACGGGAGGUAGCAAUGACGAAUAUUGGACAAUGGAUGGAAAUCUGAUCCAUCCCUGCCGCGAGCAAGAAGACUGCUUUAUGGGUUGUAAACUGCUUUUAUACGGGAGCAAUAAAGGGUUACGAGUAAUCCGAUGAGAGUACUGUAUGAAUAAGGAUCGGCUAACUCCGUGCCAGCAGCCGCGGUAAUACGGAGGAUCCGAGCGUUAUCCGGAAUUAUUGGGUUUAAAGGGUGCGUAGGCGGCCAUUUAAGUCAGCGGUGAAAUUUUGCAGCUUAACUGUAACAGUGCCGUUGAUACUGUUUGGUUAGGAUUUGGUUGUAGUGUGCGGAAUGUGUGGUGUAGCGGUGAAAUGUUUAGAUAUCACACAGAACACCGAUUGCGAAGGCAGCACACUAAGUCAUUAUUGACGCUGAGGCACGAAAGUGUGGGCAUCAAAAGGGCUUUGUUCCCCUNUUUCUCCNCNCNUUCAACCCUUAGGGGGGCUGUCGGCGCUACACAGUCGGGCGCCAAGCGAAAGCAUUAAGUUAUCCUCCUGGGGAGUGCGACCGCAAGGCUGAAACUCAAAGGAACUGACGUGGGCCCGCACAAGCGGAGGAACACGUGGUUUAAUUCGAUGAUACGCGAGGAACCUUUCCCGGGCUCGAACGGUGCAUGAAUAUCCGAGAGAUUGUAUAGUCCUUCGGGACACGCAUCGAGGUGCUGCAUGGUCGUCGUCAGCUCGUGCGGGGAGGUGUCGGCUUAAGUGCCAUAACGAGCGCAACCCUUGUCAUUAGUUGCCAUCAGGUCUAGCUGGGGAGUUUCAUGAGCCCGCCACCGUAAGGUGUGAGGA
rnacentral:rRNA from 1 species